rnacentral:tRNA from 1 species
GAGGGUAUAGCUCAAUAGUAGAGCGUAUGCUUAGCAUGCACAAGGUCCUGGGGUUCAAGCCCCAGUACCUCCA